UUUGGUCGUGGGGAGAGACUCUGGAGCGGAAAAGGACGAAGUUCACGUCGACCCUGAGGGGCUGCCCCCCGGAAACGGAUUGGCUCACGCCUCGUGUGUCGUUCGCCCAGGUGUGCCCAUGAGGGAUGUGGGAAACACUUCGCCUCCCGCAGCAGGCUGAAGAGACACGGGAAGGUCCACGAGGGCUACGUGUGCAAAAAAGAAUGUUCCUUCGUGGCAAAAACGUGGACAGAGCUUCUAAAACACAUGAGGGAAGCCCAUAGAGAGGCCAUAAGAUGUGACGUCUGCCAGAAAACCUUUAAACGCAAGGAUUACCUGAAGCAACAUAUGAAGACUCACGCCCCGGAGAGGGAGG